GAAAUAUUUCAAAUUCAGAAACACCUCAAGGCGGACAGCUCGCACCAAUGUAUUGGUAAAAUAGUAGUUUUGUUGCAACAAGUACAAGAAGCCAAAAGAUGAUGAUGGAGGACAGUGAUGAGGAAAUGGAAGAUGAACCUGUCCUAGACCCUAUACCAGAUCCAAAACCUGUUGACAGUGAUGAGGAAAUGGAAGAUUAACCUCCAAUCUUUGCUGAAGAGGAGGCUGGUCCUAGUAAGAAAAAGAAGAAACGGAAACACGAGACAAUAAAGUAGACUCAAUGCAAGGCAAACAUGUUAGUGAAGCUACUAGAUGGGCGAUGGGAGGUGACACACUUUGUUCAUGACACAAUCAUCCACUGGUGAACAAACCUUCGUUGUCCAAAUACUUGAGAUCCCACCAAGGCAUCUCUCCUGGUGAAAAGGAGUUUUUGCACAUCUUGUAUAACUGCAACUUGACUACAGGACGUAUGAUGCAUAUAAAGGCAGAGUUCUAUGGAUCUAAGUUGAUGGUGCCGUUCGGACCAAAGGCAAUAACAAAUCCGCGUACAAGUUUCCCUAGAGAUGACACAAAGGAGGGUGACAUGAUUGAGAUAAUUGUGCACUUCAAGGAUAUACAGAAAACCGAUCCAGACUUCUUCUAUAUAUAAGGUAAAAUAUGAUGAAGAGGACAGAGUUGUCAACAUAUUUUGGGUGGAUGGCUUAGCUCGAAAAGCUUAUGCGGAGGCGUACCAUGAUUGCAUAUCGUUUGACACCACCUACAUGACCAACAUGUACAAUAUGCCGUUCGCCCCCUUUAUCGGAAUAAACUGACAUGGCCAAUCUUUCAUGCUGGGUUGCGCAUUUGUGAGGCAGGAGUUGACAUCGAGCUUUGAUUGGAUCUUCCGAGCAUUCCUAGAGGCUAUGGGUGGCAAACCUCCUGAUAACUUCAUAACCGAUCAGGAUGGUGCGAUGAAGCAGCCAAUAGAGAGCAUAUUUCCCACCACCGUGCAUUGCUGUUGUUGAUGUCACAUCAUGAAAAAGGCUCAGGAAAAAGUUGGUUGGCUGCUGUGCCAGAAUCCAGGGUUGUCUGAUGAUUUCAACUAUUGUGUUGACUUCAGCUUCACUCCAGAAGAGUUUGAGCAGUGUUGGGCUGGGUUAAUGAUGAAGUAUGAGACUAUGACACACACACACACACACACACACACACUUUGAGAAGUUGUACGAAUACAGGUCAACUUGGGUGCCCUGCUACUUCAAACAUAGGUUCUUCCCCUUCCUGUAGUCUACACAGCGUAGUGAGGGGUUCAACGCCGUCCUAAAAAUAUAUGUGAACCCACACAACUCAAUGCUAAACUUCGUCAAGCAAUAUGAAAAAAUUCAAAACCACAUCCUUGCCAAGGAAGGCUGCAAUGAUUACAGGACAGAACACCAUGAGAUUGAGCUAUGGUCCAACUUCCCAAUGGGGAGGCAAGCUUACGAAACCUACACUAGGGACCUUUACCAUAAGUCCCGAGAAGAGUUUGAGCUGAUUGGAUGUUAUAAUGCGUUUCAAGUUGGUGCUGAUAUUUUUGAGCUCAGACCGAACCAGUAAUUUGUUGCCAAAUAUGGUUCUCGAAACUACUUGGUGUAGGCAAAGCUGGGGGAGGUUCCCUAUUUGUGUGAGUGUUGCAAAAUGAACAAGGACGACAUGCUCUGUUGCCACAUCCUCAAGGUGUUCACCCAUCUUGGAGUUGAUGUCUUACCAGAAAGGUACAUGCUCCAACGGUGGACACCUACUGCUGUCCCUAGUGCGCCAGGGACUGGGUAUGAGCAACCGGAUGAAAUGCCUCCUCAAUCAAAGAAGCAGAUAAGGGAGAGAAACAUGACAUACGAUUUUUGGAAACUAGCCAAGUUUGUGAGUGGCUCUGAUGCAGCACCGGCCAUUGUAUACAAGCAUAUGCGUGGAGCACCUACCGAGAUCAGCCACCUGAACAAGUCCAAGAGAAAAAACUGGCUGCUGCUAUGGGGCCAUCAGAUGAUGGCAACCCUGGAGGACCUCUCUAGGCCUUACGCGGCAUGCUCCGCCACCUCCUCCCCCGCCUGGCCCAAUAAGCAAUGCCCCGAGUGCUCCUCCCAAUGGCCCUACAGGCAGUACUCAGGGGCCUCAUCAUCCAGGUGAUUGAACAUAGCCUCGUGCAGGUCCAGCGCCCACGCACACUGGCCCUACUGCCCCGUUGGUGGCUGCAUCCCCUGCACAAGCCUCUGAUGAUUUUGUGCCCAAGGAUCCUCCAAGGUCUACUACAAAGGGUAGGGCGAAGAGUCGACGGUACAAAUCGGCGCUCGAGCUACACCCAAAGAAGAAAAACAAAUGCAGCCGCUACCAAUCUACAGAGCACACUACCGGUGUAUGUCCACUGAGGCUGCUGUGAUUCUCUUGUAUGGAAAAGGGAAAAAGGAAAAGAAUGAUGGUUCUUGAGCAAUGUUGGCUCCAAAUGGACACAUUCAGCAUCUAUGCUUUCUCUUCUCUAAGUUGUUUUCCUUGAAUUAGUUCAUGCACUGUGUAAUGGUUGCUAUUUGUGCCUUUGUUGGCAAGUGGUUUAAUAUUUAGUUGUUGAACAGUUGUAUGCCCAGUGCUCCUAAUGUGUCAACAAAAGUGAUGACAUUGAG